AGUUUUGUUCCUCUGUCUCGUGUUCCUUGUCUCUCCAGCAUAGCAACAGUUGUGGGGUGUUUUGGUCCUUAUGAACCAUGUAGCCUCACUGCUAACUUGUAACUAACUUCUCCUUUUUGUUUUUUACUAGAAAAAAGCCCACUUAGAUCAGCUGCCCUGUGAAAUGUUUAGCCCAUUGGCCAGUAGGCACUGGGAAUGGCAUCAUAUUAGCUGAAAGAUGACCAGAUAGCAAACCUUUUAUCUGCAGAACAAGAGAGACAGCAGCAGCAGCAGCAGUCACCCACCAUCUGGCUGUAUUCAAAUACUCUGUUUUACUGUGUAAUCAGCCUUUGUUUUGACACAGGAAGAAGAAUAACAACACCCUGGUUGCCUGCUGCUUCCCUCAGGAGUCAGUCUCUGUAGGCACCUUUAGAGCUGCCUUCACCUAUUAUGCUGAUGGAAGGCUGUGUCUUACCACUGUGUGUCCUCUCAAAAAGUGAAAGUAAGUAAUGGAAAUGUACCUAAGUAUCAACAGUAGAUUUCAUCUCUGCAUGUCUGUUGCCUGCUUGCUUCAUAUGUUUUGUGUCUGUGCAUUGCUGUGCAGUAAUAUCAAUGCUUCCACUGCAGCAGCCAGCAAGUUUUGGGUGUGAGAUUUGGGUUCCUUCUUGCUUCACAGUCUCUUCUGUUCCCCAGAAGGAGCUGAGUGCAGCCUGAUAUUUCAACUGAAACUGGAACAUCCCACUAUUGCAUCUAUUUCUUACCUCCUUUAUAACC